UACGUAGGGGGCAAGCGUUGUCCGGAAUUACUGGGCGUAAAGCGCAUGUAGGCGGCGGGGUGUGUCGAACGUGAAAGGCUGCGGCUCAACCGCAGAGCGCCGUUCGAAACUGCCUUUCUUGAGGGCCGAAGAGGAGAGUGGAAUUCCCGGUGUAGCGGUGAAAUGCGUAGAGAUCGGGAGGAACACCCAUGGCGAAGGCAGCUCUCUGGUCGGGCUCUGACGCUGAGAUGCGAAAGCGUGGGGAGCGAACGGG
rnacentral:rRNA from 1 species